rfam:Glycine soja cultivar W05 scaffold2511_19, whole genome shotgun sequence.
GAUAAAAUUGUCCCUUCAUCCAAUAAAAUUGAAACAAGAAAAUUAGCAUGAUUCCUGCGCAAGGAUGACACAUACAAAUCGAGAAAUUGUCUAAAUUUCU